AAUGAACGCUGGCGGUAGGCCUAACACAUGCAAGUCGAACGGCAGCACAGUAAGAGCUUGCUCUUACGGGUGGCGAGUGGCGGACGGGUGAGGAAUACAUCGGAAUCUACUUUUUCGUGGGGGAUAACGUAGGGAAACUUACGCUAAUACCGCAUACGACCUACGGGUGAAAGCAGGGGAUCUUCGGACCUUGCGCGAUUGAAUGAGCCGAUGUCGGAUUAGCUAGUUGGCGGGGUAAAGGCACACCAAGGCGACGAUCCGUAGCUGGUCUGAGAGGAUGAUCAGCCACACUGGAACUGAGACACGGUCCAGACUCCUACGGGAGGCAGCAGUGGGGAAUAUUGGACAAUGGGCGCAAGCCUGAUCCAGCCAUACCGCGUGGGUGAAGAAGGCCUUCGGGUUGUAAAGCCCUUUUGUUGGGAAAGAAAAGCAGCAGGUUAAUACCCCGCUGUUCUGACGGUACCCAAAGAAUAAGCACCGGCUAACUUCGUG
rnacentral:rRNA from 1 species